rnacentral:rRNA from 1 species
UAGGGAAUCUUCCGCAAUGGACGCAAGUCUGACGGAGCAACGCCGCGUGAGUGAAGAAGGAUUUCGGUUCGUAAAACUCUGUUGUUAGAGAAGAACAGCGCAUAGAGUAACUGUUAUGCGUGUGACGGUAUCUAACCAGAAAGCCACGGCUAACUACGUGCCAGCAGCCGCGGUAAUACGUAGGUGGCAAGCGUUGUCCGGAUUUAUUGGGCGUAAAGCGAGCGCAGGCGGUCAAUUAAGUCUGAUGUGAAAGCCCCCGGCUCAACCGGGGAGGGUCAUUGGAAACUGGUUGACUUGAGUGCAGAAGAGGAGAGUGGAAUUCCAUGUGUAGCGGUGAAAUGCGUAGGUAUAUGGGGGAACACCAGUGGCGAAGGCGACUCUCUGGUCUGUAACUGACGCUGAGGCUCGAAAGCGUGGGUAGCAAACAGG